CCAUCUCCUCCUCACCCGCGGAUUUCUUCGCCGUUCACGGCUCCCCUCGUCGCGACCUCGCGGGAGGCAGAGGAUGGGAGGGUGCGGCGCUGGCGGGCCGAUCUGCGCCGCCAGGACUCGCCCGACCCGCGGGACGCUCGAUCCGGUGACACACCAGUCGCCGGUCGUCGGCCCGGCCAACCGACGACGGAGAUCACAUCACCCUGCACCAUCAUUCUGCCUCAGCUCAUCCUUCCUCUGCGCACCCGAGCUCCUCGAUGUGUGCUGCCUGGGAGGGCUCGCGCUCGCCGCUCGACCAGAGCCACACGGCCAUCCGGUCGUCGUUGCACUCGCCGCCCCCUCUGCUCCUCCACCUCAACUUCGGACGCACGUGAUUUCUGUGCCCACCCCAUGCUACCAGAGGAAACCGCAGGCCAGUUUCUCUGGAUGACUUUUAUUUUCUGCUGAGGAUCACGAGUUUGCACAGUUUCAUGAUGUCAAAUUACUGCAUAUGUGGUGCUUCUUGUCAAUAGGGAUAUAAUUAGCUGGUUAUAGGUUGUGGAUGUUCUCAGUUAUUUAUUGCACACAACGUGUUUGUGUGUUUGUCCGAGCCGGUUUCAGUCACAGAUCCUUGAGGUAAACUCCCACGUGAAUACAUCAUGAGAGUAACUCUCCUUCCAUAUGAUUCAAAAAAUGGUAUGAUGGUGGGACUCAAUCGGGUUGCUAGACUAAUGUGGCGUUGGUGCGUGCAUCUAGAUGUGCGUCAGUGUUCGCAGCCAGAGGAAGUGGGUUGUUGCAGGCAGAGGCGGAUUAGGAUGAGAGCUUCAAGACAGCAGGGGCAGCCGGCUUUGCUCAACAUAUUCAUCUAUGAUUUUCUCCCCGAUUUUGAAAUUAUUUGGCCCCUAUAGUCCCCUUGAGAAAAAUCAGAGUAUUUAUGGACUAUGCUCUAUGGGUUGACAAAUUUGAUUGCAGGGGCUGGCAAAGUAAGUGCAGUGUCACCGUUGCACAUAUAUUCAGGGCUACAUCAAACUUCAGUCAGAAGAACAUGACGAGGCAGGGUGCUUCAUGCAGUAUUGGGAGUGAGAAAGUUUGGUGUAUAAUCAGUGUCGCCUCCACUCUGCCCCGCCCCUGUGCUUUUUCCUCGAUGGAAAUGCGGGCCACCAUGCCGCUCACUUCGCGUGCAACCACUUCAUCUCCAACCUGUCGUUGGAGAGCAUUGCAGACCGAGCGGACAAACGAUGAGGUGUAGCAGCACAACCUUGCCUCUUCCCCUUACUCUCCUUCACAAGCGAGCCAAAGACACCCCAAGUUGUGGCACCCAUCUGAGGCCAGCCUUGCUUGGCAUACAUGGCUGCAUACAUGUGAUGGGAAACAUGCAUGGAAGCUUUGGCCUGGAUAUGCAAUUAUGCCUUCCUAAGUUUUACUGAUGCAAUUUCUUUUUGAAAGAUCCCUAAAAUCAUUUACCCUUUUGCUUC